GAGACAUUUCAUCAUUGGGAUUCAAAAAACACCUCAUAAUAACUCACAAAUAGAAGAUGAUUGAAAUAUUCAAAUAUUUUGUACACUUGUGUCGCACCAGUGUCAUUUAUUGACAUAAAUUUAGAUGUCUCGAGUCAAAAUAGCCCCUUUUAUGCUAAGUUAAUCCAAAACCCCCCACAGACGGGAAACAGUACAGACACAACUCUAGCGAAUGAGGAGCCAUAUUCUUUGAUUUGGGAAACCAAAGCCUGAUGGAAAUGAAAAAGCUCGACAGACACAGAGGCAACACAGCAGCAACAGAAAAUGAUCCUCCAUCACACAGAAACGAGAGCAGUAACUGAGCCGUGUUCAGCGUUCAUCCUCAGACAGCUUUCAACACUGUGACGACUAGUUUCCCUUUUUCAGAAAAGUUGGGAUACUUUCCAAAAUGCAAUAAAAACAAAGAUCUGGG